AUUUUGAAUAAGAAUAUGACCGUGCUUAGAAUCGCGGUGAAAAUUGGACAAGUCAAGACUAACUUGUCAGUCAACUAUAUAUGGCUCUAUCAUAUUUAGUUUGGCAAAAUCAUCAGUACAUGUAAAUAAAAUAUAGUUAAAGACAAAAUCUGAUACAUAUGUCUCAUUAAAACUUGUUUAAUUUCAUUAGACAUUUGUAAACAAACGGUCGGCCAUUUUUUUGGUUAAUCACGUGUUACAAAUACAAUUGUAACAAACACACGCCAAUACUUUGUCGUAUUUAACCAGGAAAUACUGACUCCGACAGUUCUUAUUUAAAAUAAAUAUACAUGUAAAAAGUAUACUAUUCGGUAAAAAAUGAUAAUUUUGAUUAAACAUUAUUUAUUUUAAAUUAUCCCAAGAUGCACUUUUCCAAGAUUUAGCGGGUUUUGAUUGGUCAGUUUUGGCGCACUUUAUGAUUCCGAGCGAAGGUUAAAAUGGACAAGAAGGUGCUGUUGUAAAAUGGAGAAUUGAGAAGCAUUAAUAGCCUCUACAACAAGGAGAUAAUGCAGGAACGAAGAACUCAUGUCAAGCAUUGACAACAUACAAAGUCAAUGUUUCCGGUGAUUAGUUGCAUCCUCUGUUCGGUGAUUCGGAUGAAUGUUUUGACCAGCUGGACGAUGUGAACGCAAGAUAAAUAGAACAGACAUAAAGUACAGCCCAGUGAAAGGAACAAGUUCAUCGCCAGAAGAAGAAUUUUAAUGCUACCACUGUCCAGAACUACUAAGUCUGCUGUAGCCAUGAUGUGAUCAUAUGAGUGCUUCAC